rnacentral:rRNA from 1 species
GACGAACGCUGGCGGCGUGGAUUAGGCAUGCAAGUCGAACGGUAUCAUCCUUUCGGGGGUGAGAGAGUGGCGAACUGGUGAGUAACACGUAGGUUAUCUACCCUCAAGACGGGGACAACCCAGGGAAACUUGGGCUAAUACCGGAUGUGAGCAACUUUUAGUUGUUUGAAAGGUGGCGUAAGCUGUCGCUUGGGGAUGAGCCUGCGUCCUAUUAGUUAGUUGGUGAGGUAACGGCUCACCUAGGCAAUGAUAGGUAGGCGGCCUUAACGGGUGGUCGCCCACACUGGGAUUGAGAUACGGCCCAGACUCCUACGGGAGGCAGCAGUCGAGAAUAGUCUACAAUGGUCGGAAGACUGAUAGUGCGACGCCGCGUGAACGAUGAAUCCCUUCGGGGUGUAAAGUUCUUUUAUAUGUGAGCAGUGCUUCUUAUAUUAACAGCAUGGGGAGAGAGAUAUUAGCAUAUGAAUAAGCAACGGCUAACUCCGUGCCAGCAGCCGCGGUAAA